rnacentral:rRNA from 1 species
AUUGAACGCUGGCGGCAGGCCUAACACAUGCAAGUCGAGCGGAGCGGCGGACGGGAGAGUAAUGCCUAGGAAUCUGCCUGGGAGUGGGGGAUAACGUCCGGAAACGGGCGCUAAUACCGCAUACUAUCGGAUGAGCCUAGGUCGGAGUAGCUAGUUGGUGGGGUAAAGGCCUACCAAGGCGACAAUCCGUAACUGGUCUGAGAGGAUGAUCAGUCACACGGGAACUUAGACACGGUCCGGACUCCUACGGGAGGCAUCAGUGGGGAAUAUUGGACAAUGGGCGAAAUCCGGUUCCAGCCAUGCGGCGUGGGUGAAGAAGGUCUUCGGAUUGUAAAGCACUUUCAGUUGGGAGGCGUUACCAACAGAAUAAGCACCGGCUAACUUCGUGCCAGCAGCCGCGGUAAUAC